rnacentral:rRNA from 1 species
UACAGAGGGUGCGAGCGUUAAUCGGAAUUACUGGGCGUAAAGCGUGCGUAGACGGCUAUCUAAGUCGGGUGUGAAAGCCCCGGGCUCAACCUGGGAAUUGCAUUCGAGACUGAAUAGCUAGGGUACGGUAGAGGGAAGUGGAAUUUCCGGUGUAGCGGUGAAAUGCGUAGAUAUCGGAAGGAACAUCAGUGGCGAAAGCGACUUCCUGGACCAGUACCGACGU